rnacentral:lncRNA from 1 species
CGACACGCUUCAUCGUCGUUUAUAAAGUAAGAAUUUUAAAAUUUUACUUGCUUUUUUAUUUAAGAUAAAUGAGUGAGGAGAUUAAAGUUUAUUUUGAUGCUACUGAGAAAGCAAGUCGUCUAUCGUGUUGUAUCUGUUACGUUAUCAUCUUGGAGAAUUGAAGUUAAGUGCUAUAUUGUAUAUGUAGUAUAUUUAUUUGAUAUCAACAGAAAAAAAGGUUGAACAUUACUUUAAUUAGGAAAGCUAAAGUAAUUGUAUCCGAAUACUUUUGAAGUGAAACUUCUUUACGCACAGUAAGGAACAUUAUAAAACUCCAGAUGCCAUAAAAUUACGGAGCAUCAGUUGUAUCAGUCUUCAUUUGCUCCAGAAAGUAUAUGUCUACUUGUGGUCUUAAAGAACGCAUGGAAGUGGUUUUUUUCCAUUGGGAAUGACAAAAAGUGUGCUGUUGCUGUAGGAGAAAUUCAUGACACUGAACUGCCGAUGCUUUUGACGUCUUCACCUAGCAACAUUAUGCAGUUAAUUUUGGCCCUGAGAUUGGGAGGCAUUUGGAAAAUUAAUUUUGAAGCCACUGAAACAACAAAUUGUCUGCAAUGGUACCCUUCGUAGAUUUGGUUUGUUCAAUACACUGAUGAACUUUAGAACACUACUUUUUAUAGUUAACUAAGGAACUUUGGAAGAAUUCCAAAUUCUGUUAAAUUGUGGAGUAUUUGUUGUAUCAGUCGUCAAUCACUCUAGAAAGUAGCUGCGCCUAUGGUCCUAAAAAAAAGCAUCAAAAAGCCAUUUUCCCAUUGGGAACGGAGACAGUGUGCUGUUGUUGUAGAAAGGAUUUAUGACAAUGAACUGAUUGUCGUAACAGAUAAGAAGGAAUUGGUGCUACUGAAACAACCGAUGCUUUUGAUGUUUUCACCUUGCAACAAUAUGCAGUUAGUUUUCGCCCUGAGAAUGGGAGGCAAAUGGAAAUUAAUUUGGAAACCACUGAAACAACAAAUUGUCUGCAGUGAUAUACCCUAGAUUUGCUUUGCUCAUCAUACUGGCAGACUUUGGAACGCUACAUUCUACAAUUGGUUAAGAUCGUUCAACAAGUGAGAGGGAGUUGGAAGUUCAGUUUGGUCGUACUGAAACAACCAUUGUCUACAUGGGUGUGGUCUUUGGUGAACUACAUCCUUGAUUGGCCGUUUUCGUCUUCGCUUUGCAUCAUUAUGCAGUUAGUUUUGAACUGUUGAGUGAGAGCAACAGAAUAUUUAUUUGAUUUCCACUGAAAUAAGGAAUUUUCUGCAUUGGCAUUAUUCCUGGAUUUGGUUUGCUUUUCCCACCUGCAAACUUUGAAACAUUACAGUCUACAGUGAAUUAAGGAACGUUGGAAGAAUUCCAAAUUCUGUUAAAUUGUGGAGUAUUUAUUGUCUCAGUCGUCAAUCGCUCAAGAAAGUAGCGUUUCCUAUGGUCCUAAAAAGAGCAUAAAAACGUCAUUUAUCCAGUGUGCUGUUGUUGAAGAAAGGAUUUAUGACAAUGAACUGAUUGUCGUAACAGAUAAGAAGGAAUUGGUGCUACUGAAACAACCGAUGCUUUUGAUGUUUUCACCUUGCAACAUUAUGCAGUUAGUUUUGGCCCUGAAAAUGGCAGGCAAGUGAAAAUUAAUUCGGAAGUCACUGAAACAACAAGUUUUCUGCAGUGAUAUCCCUCCUAGAUUUGAUUUGCUCAUCAUACUGGCAGACUUUGGAACGCUACAUUCUACAAUUGGUUAAGAUCGUUCAACAAGUGAGAGGGAGUUGGAAGUUCAGUUUGGUCGUACUGAAACAACCAUUGUCUACAUGGGUGUGGUCUUUGGUGAACUACAUCCUUGAUUGGCCGUUUUCGUCUUCGCUUUGCAUCAUUAUGCAGUUAGUUUUGAACUGUUGAGUGAGAGCAACAGAAUAUUUAUUUGAUUUCCACUGAAAUAAGGAAUUUUCUGCAUUGGCAUUAUUCCUGGAUUUGGUUUGCUUUUCCCACCUGCAAACUUUGAAACAUUACAGUCUACAGUGAAUUAAGGAACGUUGGAAGAAUUCCAAAUUCUGUUAAAUUGUGGAGUAUUUAUUGUCUCAGUCGUCAAUCGCUCAAGAAAGUAGCGUUUCCUAUGGUCCUAAAAAGAGCAUAAAAACGUCAUUUAUCCAGUGUGCUGUUGUUGAAGAAAGGAUUUAUGACAAUGAACUGAUUGUCGUAACAGAUAAGAAGGAAUUGGUGCUACUGAAACAACCGAUGCUUUUGAUGUUUUCACCUUGCAACAUUAUGCAGUUAGUUUUGGCCCUGAAAAUGGCAGGCAAGUGAAAAUUAAUUCGGAAGUCACUGAAACAACAAGUUUUCUGCAGUGAUAUCCCUCCUAGAUUUGAUUUGCUCAUCAUACUGGCAUACUUUGGAACGCUACAUUGUACAAUUGGUUAAGAUCGUUCAACAAGUGAGAGGGAGUUGGAAGUUCAGUUUGGUCGUACUGAAACAACCAUUGUCUACAUGGGUGUGGUCUUUGGUGAACUACAUCCUUGAUUUGCUGUUUUCGUCUUCGCUUUGCAUCAUU